rnacentral:lncRNA from 1 species
UUUUUUAUUUUGUAUUUUAAUAAUUAAGUAGAAAUAUACAUUCGUUUUUUAAUCAUUUGUAAUUUGGAUACUAUUUUAGUUUUAUAUAAUGUAAUAAAUAUUUAAAAAUAAUAUAAAAUUAUGUACUUAAGAUAUAUAUGUUAUUAUCUAUAGUAUAAAAAAUAAUAGUUAAAUAUUUAUAACACACUAUAACAGAAUUAGAUUAUAGGGACACAUUUUUUGGACACUUUUGUGUAAGUGUCCCAUUCAUGCCAAUUUUUUUUAAAAAAUCUAUUAAGGCCUAAAUAUAAAACCUAAUCCAAUCAAAAAUAAAAAAUUAAUUUACUCAAUCAACUCCAUCCAGCCCACUCGGCCCGAUUACAAAUAGAAAAGAAAAAAAAAAAAGAAAAAUUGAUCACCAUCUCCUUUUCUCCUCUUCCGCCGCUGCAGCUGACGAGAUACGGUUCCGGCGGUUGGAAUUCGGCCGCGAGGAUCUCGCAGAAAUCGUAGAGGGUUACGAUCGCCAUGUGUCCCUCCGCCACAGGUCGUUGGAGGAGUGGGUGUCAAACAUCAAAGCGACCUUACAUUAGCAACCCCACAUAUAGCAACACUUUUAAAAAGUGUCGGUAAUUUAGCCAGUAGCACUUUUUUUAACUUAUACCGACAUUUAAAAGUAUCACGUACUAUACACCGUUUUUGUUGUAGUGACAUUAUACUGAUAUGAUUGCAUUAGUGACUUAUGACUCGACAAUAUUUUUCGGUCAUAAAUAAUUCCAUGUUUC